GACGAACGCUGGCGGCGUGCUUAACACAUGCAAGUCGAACGGAAAGGCCCUGCUUUUGUGGGGUGCUCGAGUGGCGAACGGGUGAGUAACACGUGAGUAACCUGCCCUUGACUUUGGGAUAACUUCAGGAAACUGGGGCUAAUACCGGAUAGGAGCUCCUGCUGCAUGGUGGGGGUUGGAAAGUUUCGGCGGUUGGGGAUGGACUCGCGGCUUAUCAGCUUGUUGGUGGGGUAGUGGCUUACCAAGGCUUUGACGGGUAGCCGGCCUGAGAGGGUGACCGGCCACAUUGGGACUGAGAUACGGCCCAGACUCCUACGGGAGGCAGCAGUGGGGAAUAUUGCACAAUGGGCGGAAGCCUGAUGCAGCAACGCCGCGUGCGGGAUGACGGCCUUCGGGUUGUAAACCGCUUUCGCCCGUGACGAAGCGUGAGUGACGGUAAUGGGUAAAGAAGCACCGGCUAACUACGUGCCAGCAGCCGCGGUGAUACGUAGGGUGCGAGCGUUGUCCGGAUUUAUUGGGCGUAAAGGGCUCGUAGGUGGUUGAUCGCGUCGGAAGUGUAAUCUUGGGGCUUAACCCUGAGCGUGCUUUCGAUACGGGUUGACUUGAGGAAGGUAGGGGAGAAUGGAAUUCCUGGUGGAGCGGUGGAAUGCGCAGAUAUCAGGAGGAACACCAGUGGCGAAGGCGGUUCUCUGGGCCUUUCCUGACGCUGAGGAGCGAAAGCGUGGGGAGCGAACAGGCUUAGAUACCCUGGUAGUCCACGCUGUAAACGGUGGGUACUAGGUGUGGGGUCCAUUCCACGGGUUCCGUGCCGUAGCUAACGCUUUAGGUACCCCGCCUGGGGAGUACGGCCGCAAGGCUAAAACUCAAAGGAAUUGACGGGGCCCCGCACAAGCGGCGGAGCAUGCGGAUUAAUUCGAUGCAACGCGUAGAACCUUACCUGGGUUUGACAUGGAUCGGGAGUGCUCAGAGAUGGGUGUGCCUCUUUUGGGGUCGGUUCACAGGUGGUGCAUGGCUGUCGUCAGCUCGUGUCGUGAGAUGUUGGGUUAAGUCCCGCAACGAGCGCAACCCUUGUUCACUGUUGCCAGCACGUUAUGGUGGGGACUCAGUGGAGACCGCCGGGGUCAACUCGGAGGAAGGUGGGGAUGACGUCAAGUCAUCAUGCCCCUUAUGUCCAGGGCUUCACGCAUGCUACAAUGGCUGGUACAGAGAGUGGCGAGCCUGUGAGGGUGAGCGAAUCUCGGAAAGCCGGUCUCAGUUCGGAUUGGGGUCUGCAACUCGACCUCAUGAAGUCGGAGUCGCUAGUAAUCGCAGAUCAGCAACGCUGCGGUGAAUAAGGUCCCGGG
rnacentral:rRNA from 1 species